rnacentral:tRNA from 1 species
UGUAAAUGUACUGUCCUAACAUACUCUAAAUUUAUGCUUUCGCCGUAAAACCUUUUUGAAAUCGUAAAACGUGGUUAGAUUAAGGAGAUGUUUAUCUUUCAAAGGGUGUAAAAUAGUUGUAUGUUUGAAAAAUUUGAAUUUUGACAUUUAUUUGGAUUCAAAUUUGCCGCUCUUGAAAUGCACCUGCUGUUGAUGGAGUGCACCACGGGUGGCACGCUAGCGUCCCACCUAGCCCAUAGAGGUUAACGAGAGUCUUGUCUUUAAAAUGGUGUAAAAUAGUCAUAUGUUUGAAAAAUUGAAGUUUUUGCAUUUUUGAGGUUUUUGAAUAACGCGCCACGGGAUUACACUGGCUGUUACGUAGGUGGGACGAAUUCGUCCCGCCUAGCCCAUAGAGGUUAAAACUCAGAAAAUAAAACUUCAACGAUUCCAUGUGUGUGUAACUUCUAAGAUUCCAUAUGUGUGUAUACCCCUUUAAGAAAUCUUGGCUCUAGGAAACAUUCCAAAGAGAGACAAUGAAGCACUCAUUUUCCCAGAGAAAUAAAAACACAAACACUUGGUCAGCAUUCAUUAUACUACACCAAUUCAGAACCCCAAACGUUGACUAUAAACAAAACCUAAUAAUAAUUCCACUGUAAACCCCUCAAAUCAUUAAUCAUUAGUUUUAAACUUCCUCAAUGGUUAUGUGUACUUAAUUGAACAUGCGCUACCCUUGGAUACAAUAUUUUACUUCAAAUCUAUGAAACUCCUCUAUUUAACAUACAAUUUGGCCCAAGCUUGCUUUACAACAUUAAAACCCCUUCAGUCUGUCUUCAAACAGGCUCUCAAAGUGUUUGAUAGGACUACCCUGCCAUAAGACGCACACUACUGUGAUUAAUGUGCACGGUACCUGUAAAAUAAAAUUAACUCAACCUACAAUUCACUUCACUGACCUGACGUUGUUCCACGUAAUGGAAACAGAUUUAUAAUGUUAGAAUACUUUAACUUCCUGCCUAAAUUCACUGGUGUUAACUAAACAAUCAAACCAAGAAUCAUUAACCAGAAACUAUCACACAACUUUUACAAUUCAACUAUCCAGACUUGAAUCGCUUUACAGCCAAUCUAUAUCCCAGCGAGUGCAACUAGCUCCCCUAUUCUUUCCAGCAGACAAAAAUAUAAUCUCUACUCAAACAACAUUCUACCUUACCUCUAUCGUAAGAUUAAAACAUAUGUUACAACUUUCUCCUCUCUUUCGGCUUCACACUUAUGAAAUGUCUACGACUUUAAAAGUACCAUGUAGAUCGCCAAAUUUAUCAAAUACUUCAUUCAACUCCUUUCAACUAAAAAACAAAUUUCGGUGGGUUCUACUCAAUCGCAAUCACUUAUCCGCUCAUUAUAAUUCAUUAGAUUUAGGUAACUGUCUCUUCCAUUGAAACUGAACAAGCUAUCAAAACGUUCAGUUUAUAUCUUAAACAACCACUAACAACCGUAUCUUUCCAGGUAAAACAUACCAACAGUUGAAUGACAAUCCGCACCUACAAUUUUAAUCAACUGAUGCAUAGGCUGAGAAACAAACCCAGGUCUCCCACAUGGUAGGCAAGGAUUCUACCUCUGAACCACCAAUGCUAUUGCUUAGGGUUGCAAUUUCGGUGGUUUUGUCCUACUCGGCCACAAUGUUUACAGGGAGCCUUACCUUCUCGAGCGAAUUGUCCUGUCUUAUUGCAAUUCGAACACUUUCUAUCGUCUGGUUCCAUCCAUUUUCUACUCUCCCUUUUCCCCCCUUUCUCUUUCUUCUUCUGACAAUCUCGGUUUUUAUGUCCUGUUUUGUUACAAUGUUUACACGAUGCCUCACAAUCCCUUGCAUAAUGCAUAAUGCCCCGACUUCUGACAGUUGAAACAUGUAUUUUCCUUAUUCCUAUCCAUUUAUUUUUUCUUAAACACAGUUACCCCGAUAGUUACUGUUAGAUGCUCUAACUCAACCGGUUCACUCUUUUCCCAGUCUCGGUGAUUAUGGCCUACUUUAUUGUAGUGUUUACACGGUGCCUCACAAUCCCUUGCAUAAUGCAUAAUGCCCCGACUUCUGACAGUUGAAACAUGUAUUUUCCUUAUUCCUAUCCAUUUAUUUUUUCUUAAACACAGUUACCCCGAUAGUUACUGUUAGAUGCUCUAACUCAACCGGUUCACUCUUUUCCCAGUCUCGGUGAUUAUGGCCUACUUUAUUGUAGUGUUUACACGGUGCCUCACAAUCUCUAGCAAAAUUACCCGGUUUGUGACAGUUAAAGCAUCUAUUUCCCCCUUUCUUUUGACUGUCUCUAUCCACUUUUCUCGACUUUCUCAAUAAGUUUGCUAAAUCCUGUUCUCCUUUACUGUGUCUCUGUGGGGGCCUUGGGAGUCCUCUCCGUCUGAGAGGAUUUACUACUCAUGUUCGUUGAAUUACUAUCAGAGUUAUUAUGCUUCAUCACACAAUCUGUGUGUUAUCUAUUACUCUCUAUGUGUGUUUUCUACCGUUAUUAUCCUUAACCUAUAUUACAAAAUACAUACCGUAAUCUUUCCUAGAAUAUUAGAAUAUUUAUUUGUAUGAAUCCUGAUAUAUUAUUUAGAUCUCACACGUAUACCACCAUAAGUUAUACUUAUUUUUAUGUCGUUCCUUGCGACUUUUGACUGAUCAAUAUGUCUAUCUCACACGCAAAUAAUUAUCUCCUUAUUCUAUGUGUGUGCUUUUAAAACUCUGAUUCAAUUACUUCUAUGUGUAUUCCUUACCUACUGUUAAUUUCCUCUAGGAUCUUAGAAUAAUAUUUUUUAUGACUUUUGAUAGAUUAUUAGGUCUCACAUGUAUACAACAAUAAGCUAUUUACCAGAGGUUGUAAGGCCCUGGUCAACAGCCCAUUUUUCCGUUGUUCCUUAUGGCUUUUGACUGAUCAAUAUAUCUCUCACACGCAAUUAUCUUCUUACCCCCGUGGAAAUUUCCCAAUGUGUCUGUGUUGCAAUUACUAUCUCUUUCUUGAAACUUUAUCUAUAGAGGUGACUUUUGAUCGGACAUUAGGUCUCAUACGUAUAUGACUAUAAGCUAUUUUCCAGGGGUUGUAAAGCCCUAGUUAACAGCCUAUUUUUCUGUCGUUCCUUGCAAUUAUUGACUCGUUAAUAUCACGUAUCUCACUCCGCUAUAUUAGGUUUCCUUUCUUAAAUGGAUAAUCAGACCUAGAUGUGCGCCUCUGGAAGAUCUGACCAUCCCCCUUCUAUCGUCGUUAUUUAAUUACUUCUAUGUGUAUUCAAUUACUUCUAUGUGUAUUCCUUCUUUCCACUAGUUUCCAGUGGUAAAUACCUCGUUAUUCAGCUUGCAUAAUAUAUCCUUGAUCAGGUUUAACAAAUCGUUCUCUUAGAUCUCAAUAUUAGCUAGUUUACUCUGGUAGUGCAGAUACCCUAUGUCAUUUCGGACAAAGUCACUGAGGAUUUAACAAUUCCUAGGUGGCUUCUACUCCCAAUUCCAUAGAAUAGUACCUAUAUCAGGGUUCUCUACACAACAUUCUAAAGAUAGGUCACCAGGUUAGGUCACCAGGUUAGAAUACGCAAUCAGAUCUAGAGAUCAAUGUCCAAACCACACAAGAAUCAUAAAAAUAUUUCUCUGAAAGUAGCCUAGACGUCAAUUCCCCAAAUCCGUGAAUAAAGACUUACUGACCUUUGUCUUGUAGGCUGGGAAAAGCAAUGUAGGUUGGAUCCCGUCACCGUCUCUGUCAACCUUAGAUAUUUACCGGCCUGUUAUGGAACCCCAAUUUCAGGGGACAGGUCUUUAAUUAACGAGUCAAUGACCCGCCCAUGCACGGUUUUCGGCGUGUUACCUUAGGAAGACAGGGACAGAUUUUUGGAUCCGGCUCAAAGGACCAAUUGAUAUGAGAAUUAUGUUCUCAAUGUUAACUUCAAUUAAAAUACUCAGUCUGCCACCCAGAAUGUGUAAGAUUCUGGUUGAAUAACACAGACGGAGGCCCAGCUUACAAGAAUCAGACGUGUUUAUUCAGGAGAGCGCUCUGCCUUCCAUUGUAC